rnacentral:misc_RNA from 1 species
UAGGAUUUGUAUGAUUGCCUUUUGGUUGUUUAAUUCAAAUUUCUAGGAUGAAUUAUAGCACUGUAUAGUGCAUGUAAUGUAAUAGGAAUUUGGAUGGUUGAAUGUGCCAUUUUAAGUUCUAGAUUUUAUGAUGCAAAACUUAUAAUGUGUUAUUCCUUUUCUUUACCUGCUUUACCCGAUGUUUGGAUUCUUAAUUAUGCAAAGUAAUUGAGGAGAAAUUUAAGGAUAGAAAUGAAGUGAAAAGAAAAGGG